rnacentral:rRNA from 1 species
GACGAAGGAUGCAAGCGUUAUCCGGAUUCAUUGGGUUUAAAGGGUGCGUAGGCGGCCCUGUAAGUCAGUGGUGAAAGCCCGGGGCUCAACUCCGGAACUGCCUUUAAGACUGCAUCGCUUGAAUCCGGGAGAGGUGAGUGGAAUUCCGAGUGUAGAGGUGAAAUUCGUAGAUAUUCGGAAGAACACCAGUGGCGAAGGCGGCUCACUGGACCGGUAUUGACGCUGAGGUGCGAAAGCGUGGGGAGCAAACAGG